rnacentral:rRNA from 1 species
UUAGCCAGAUGGUGAGGUAACGGCUCACCAUAGCAAUGAUGUCUAGGGGUUUUGAGAGGAAGGCCCCCCACACUGGGACUGAGACACGGCCCAGACUCCUACGGGAGGCAGCAGUGAGGAAUAUUGGACAAUGGAUGGAAAUCUGAUCCAGCCAUGCCGCGUGCAGGAAGACGGCCUUAUGGGUUGUAAACUGCUUUUAUACGGGAGCAAUAAGGGUUACGAGUAAUCCGAUGAGAGUACUGUAUGAAUAAGGAUCGGCUAACUCCGUGCCAGCAGCCGCGGUAAUACGGAGGAUCCGAGCGUUAUCCGGAAUUAUUGGGUUUAAAGGGUGCGUAGGCGGCCAUUUAAGUCAGCGGUGAAAUUUUGCAGCUUAACUGUAACAGUGCCGUUGAUACUGUUUGGCUAGGAUUUGGUUGUAGUGUGCGGAAUGUGUGGUGUAGCGGUGAAAUGCUUAGAUAUCACACAGAACACCGAUUGCGAAGGCAGCACACUAAGUCAUUAUUGACGCUGAGGCACGAAAGUGUGGGGAUCAAACAGGAUUAGAUACCCUGGUAGUCCACACUGUAAACGAUGAUAACUCGCUGUCGGCGAUACACAGUCGGUGGCCAAGCGAAA